AUUGCAUGCUAUAUGAUGUUGCUCAAAUGAACAUGUUUUACAAAAUAAAUCCUCAAUAGAUAUCCAUUGUCUAGGCCUACUACUCAACCAUUUUUGAAAUGACUACAGAAGAGGUAUCAUCACUGAUGACCAAGCUGAUUGGCUCUAGUGCAAGUGGGAGAUUGUUGGAAAUCUGCCCUAAAACCAAUCAUAUGAUGAUACUUUACGGACAUUUCACAUGUUAAACUAAUAUAGUUUAACAUAAAGGGAAAAGAUUAUUGUUUGAAGCCAUCUCAUAUAAAUGUUAUACGCUUAAACGACAAGUCCAAGGAAUAUAUAAUUGGGAGAAUGCGAUCUAAAGAAGUUAGAUUCAUGAGACCAUUCUCUUUCGUAUACAUAUCCUAAACGUUCCUGAUCAUAGGAUUGUCAAUUGGGCAUUGAUAUUCCGUUAAGAUCAGUACGUGCUAUGUCUUCUCUUAAGGAGAGUGACUGGUCUCAAGUCAUUGGUGUGACUGACACCAAGACAAGUACGUAGGUGCUCAAUAGAGAAUGAGUUCACUAAACGCGAUCAACAAGAAGUUCUCAUACUCAUGUCACAUGAGAACUCAUGGUUGGGAUAAUGCAAAGUAGUCCUUUGACCUGAGGCAUCAUAGUUGUCUUGUGGUUAGGUCCUUGAUCUUUGACUAUGUCAAAGUCACUCCAUGUGUCCACGACAUAGUUGGGGUUAAGCCACUUAGCCAAGGGGGCAAGUGAAUGCGCAACAAGGGAUCUCUAACCUUCACACCGUUUGAGGGAGAAUACUCUAUGAUAUGAUUAAGAAUCUCUGGCCAUAGUAUGAAUGAGAUUUAGGAAGUCGUUCCAAAUCACAUUCAAGGUAAUCAUAUAAGUAAGAGAAUCAUAUUGGAUAGAAGACAUGAAUAAACUAUCAAACCAAACAAUGUGGUCAAGAGUAUUAUAUUAGAGAAAGACCGUAUUGCAUUGUAAUCCUAAACUGAAUAGGUUCUCCACCUCUUCUGAUUAGCUUGGGUAACCAUGACAUACUGCUAGGUGUCACUCAUGGUUUGUGGAAGCCCUAAACAUGUAUAAUCACAAAAGGGAGAAUUGAAAGUAAGUUUCAAUUCACAAUCGAUUGUUAAGAGUAACAAUCGCCCACUGCCUAGUUAAAAGGAACCUAAUGGAUCGUACACCGUGUAAGGUAGAGAUUGAAGAAACAACGGAGAUAAGUCAGGAUAAUUAAAUGGUUUAAUUAUUUAUGGCUAAGAUUAAUUAAUAUGUUAAUUAAUCAAACGAAUAAGUUUGUUAUCGACCUAAGGUUAGUUUUGGGCCGCAAGGCCCAAUGGGAUUUGAAUGUCAAGCCCAUUAACUCAACUUGUAUGACAACUUGAAUAAACAAAGGUCUUGAAAGCCCAAUAAACCCUUAAGGCCGGCCAAAUAGAGGAGGGUAGUGAACUUGCUUUAAUUGCAAGUUUGCCACUUCAUUAUGAGGUGGUAUAAAGGCAACUUUAUAGCCAUUUCAUCCUUCGGGUUUCUUUUGGAGAAAAAUUGGAGAGAACAUUGUAGACAUCGAAAUUUCGGUAAAUAAAUGUUGACCGAUAAAUCAAAGUGUCAACGCUCAUGUAUUACAUAAAUUUUACACAUAGCGUGUGACUCAACGAAAAUUGAAAUGAGUUGGAAAAGUCAUCAAAUAGGACACGUGUCAACACCUGGCAGAAACGACUUAUUUCAUCUGGAAUAUUAUAUUCAAAAUUAGGCCUUGGAAAAUUCUAUAAAUAGAAGGCAAUUUCAUUCAUUUGAGGAACCAAUUCAUAUUACACCUUGAAGCUCUGAAGCUCUGAAACUCCGAAGCUCUCAAGCAUCCAAGUUCCCGAAGAAUCAAGAAAGCCUUCUUCGUUCUUCGUUCAUCAUUCUUCCAAGAUCAAGCCCCGACGGCCCUUGGAUCAACAAUCAUCCACCAAUUCAAGAUCAAGCCCCGACGGCCCUUGAAGAAAGUGUUCUUCGUUCUUCGUUCAUCGUUCUUCCAAGAUCAAGCCCCGACGGCCCUUGGAUCAACCAUCCACUAAUUCAAGAUCAAGCCCCGACGGCCCCUGAAGAAAGCACCAUCGUUCAUCAUCCGUUCAUCCAAGAUCAAGCCCCAACGGCCCUUUGGAUCAACAACGUCGACAAAUCCACACAUCCAACCGUUCUUCAAGAUCAAGCCCAAAAGCCCUUGGAGAUCCGUUCAUCACUGUUCUU
rnacentral:lncRNA from 1 species